UAGUUUUUUUCUCUCUUCCACCCACAGAAAGACCACAGUGUUGAUGUGUCCAUUCCUUUUACAGGAAGAGGAAGUUGUAGAGAUGAACAUGACAUCAGAUCGUCUUUAAGCAUUUGUACAUUUCUAAUUCUGUCAAAGCCCCAUUUGUGUCACAGCCGAAGGAAAAGUGGGGGUCCGGAGGACACGCUGGUGUCGACAGUCGCUUACAAGAAGCUCAGAAUGGAGCACACUUCACUUUAUGUGCUAAUCUUGCUGAGUACACACAUCUACUCUGGACACUCUGAAGAUGAUGAUGGACGGGCAAAGGCUGUUCUGACCAUACACCCCAAAUACUCCCAGAUAUUCAGUGGAGAGUCUGUCACUCUCAGAUGUAACAUACAGAGGGGAGAAGUCACUGACUGGGAAUACACAUGGGAAAAUGUUGGUAUACCCUUUCUCAGUAUGGAGCAUGAAUAUGAGAUCAGUGAGGUUAAGAUUUCAGACAGUGGUGACUACAGGUGUCUCGGUCUACAUAUUGAUCAGAAUACGUUUUCUGAGUGGAGUGAUGCAGUGAGACUGACGG